UACCUGGGUGAUCCUGCCAGUAGUCAUAUGCUUGUCUCA
rnacentral:rRNA from 1 species